UAACACCUGGAAACAGAUGCUAAUACCGCAUAACAACUUGGACCGCAUGGUCGAGCUUGAAAGAUGGCUUCGGCUAUCACUUUUGGAUGGUCCCGCGGCGUAUUAGCUAGAUGGUGGGGUAACGGCUCACCAUGGCAAUGAUACGUAGCCGACCUGAGAGGGUAAUCGGCCACAUUGGGACUGAGACACGGCCCAAACUCCUACGGGAGGCAGCAGUAGGGAAUCUUCCACAAUGGACGAAAGUCUGAUGGAGCAACGCCGCGUGAGUGAAGAAGGGUUUCGGCUCGUAAAACUCUGUUGUUAAAGAAGAACAUAUCUGAGAGUAACUGUUCAGGUAUUGACGGUAUUUAACCAGAAAGCCACGGCUAACUACGUGCCAGCAGCCGCGGUAAUACGUAGGUGGCAAGCGUUGUCCGGAUUUAUUGGGCGUAAAGCGAGCGCAGGCGGUUUUUUAAGUCUGAUGUGAAAGCCUUCGGCUCAACCGAAGAAGUGCAUCGGAAACUGGGAAACUUGAGUGCAGAAGAGGACAGUGGAACUCCAUGUGUAGCGGUGAAAUGCGUAGAUAUAUGGAAGAACACCAGUGGCGAAGGCGGCUGUCUGGUCUGUAACUGACGCUGAGGCUCGAAAGUAUGGGUAGCAAACAGGAUUAGAUACCCUGGUAGUCCAUACCGUAAACGAUGAAUGCUAAGUGUUGGAGGGUUUCCGCCCUUCAGUGCUGCAGCUAACGCAUUAAGCAUUCCGCCUGGGGAGUACGGCCGCAAGGCUGAAACUCAAAGGAAUUGACGGGGGCCCGCACAAGCGGUGGAGCAUGUGGUUUAAUUCGAAGCUACGCGAAGAACCUUACCAGGUCUUGACAUACUAUGCAAAUCUAAGAGAUUAGACGUUCCCUUCGGGGACAUGGAUACAGGUGGUGCAUGGUUGUCGUCAGCUCGUGUCGUGAGAUGUUGGGUUAAGUCCCGCAACGAGCGCAACCCUUAUUAUCAGUUGCCAGCAUUAAGUUGGGCACUCUGGUGAGACUGCGGUGACAAACCGGAGGAAGGUGGGGAUGACGUCAAAUCAUCAUGCCCCUUAUGACCUGGGCUACACACGUGCUACAAUGGAUGGUACAACGAGUUGCGAACUCGCGAGAGUAAGCUAAUCUCUUAAAGCCAUUCUCAGUUCGGAUUGUAGGCUGCAACUCGCCUACAUGAAGUCGGAAUCGCUAGUAAUCGCGGAUCAGCAUGCCGCGGUGAAUACGUUCCCGGGCCUUGUACACACCGCCCGUCACACCAUGAGAGUUUGUAACACCCAAAGUCGGUGGGGUAACCUUUUAGGAACCAGCCGCCUAAGGUGGGACAGAUGAUUAGGGUGAAGUCGUAACAAGGUAGCCGUAGGAGAACCUGCGGCUGGAUCACCUCCUUUCUAAGGAA
rnacentral:rRNA from 2 species